rnacentral:rRNA from 1 species
UACAGAGGUCUCAAGCGUUGUUCGGAAUUACUGGGCGUAAAGGGCUUGUAGGUGGCCAACUAAGUCAGACGUGAAAUCUCCCGGCUUAACUGGGAGGGUGCAGCGGAAACUAGAAUGCUAGAGGGUGGGAGAGGUAAGCGGAAUUCCUGGUGUGGCGGUGAAAUGCGUAGAUAUCAGGAGGAACACCUGUGGUGUAGACAGCUUACUGGACCACUUCUGACGCUGAGACACGAAAGCGUGGGUAGCAAACAGG